rnacentral:rRNA from 1 species
UGAGGAAUAUUGGACAAUGGAGGCAACUCUGAUCCAGCCAUGCCGCGUGAAGGACUAAGGCCCUAUGGGCUGUAAACUUCUUUAGACGCAGAGCAAUAAGGGCCACGUGUGGUCCGAUGAGAGUAUGCGUAGAAUAAGCAUCGGCUAACACCGUGCCAGCAGCCGCGGUAAUACGGAGGAUGCGAGCGUUAUCCGGAUUUAUUGGGUUUAAAGGGUGCGUAGGCGGACCGUUAAGUCAGUGGUAAAAUUGAGAGGCUCAACCUCUUCCGGCCAUUGAAACUGGCGGACUUGAGUGAGCGAGAAGUAUGCGGAAUGCGUGGUGUAGCGGUGAAAUGCAUAGAUAUCACGCAGAACUCCGAUUGCGAAGGCAGCAUACCGGCGCUCAACUGACGCUGAGGCACGAAAGCGUGGGGAUCAAACAGGAUUAGAUACCCUGGGUAGGU